rnacentral:rRNA from 1 species
UACGGGGGGGGCAAGCGUUGUUCGGAAUUACUGGGCGUAAAGGGCUCGUAGGCGGCCAACUAAGUCAAACGUGAAAUCCCUCGGCUUAACCGGGGAACUGCGUCUGAUACUGGAUGGCUUGAGUUUGGGAGAGGGAUGCGGAAUUCCAGGUGUAGCGGUGAAAUGCGUAGAUAUCUGGAGGAAUACCGGUGGCGAAGGCGGCAUCCUGGACCGGCAUUGACGCUGAGUGAGCGAAAGCCAGGGGAGCAAACGGG